rnacentral:misc_RNA from 1 species
CAAUAACUACCAUAACAGACACCGAAAGCACUCAUCAGUCAUCACUUCCCUUUUGUCUCUGUCCCUCUCUCACGAUGGCAGAUCUCAUAGAAACCUACGCAUGUGCCCCCUCUACAGAGCGUGGCCGAGGAAUUCUAAUCUCCGGCGACCCCAAAUCCAAUUCUAUUCUCUACACCAACGGGAGAUCCGUUAUAAUCCGGNNNNNNNNNCCUCUAAAAGUCCACGUCUAUGGCGAGCAUGGAUACCCUGUCACCGUUGCCCGCUACUCCCCCA